UACGGAGGGGACUAGCGUUGUUCGGAAUUACUGGGCGUAAAGCGCGCGUAGGCGGACUAUUAAGUCAGGGGUGAAAUCCCGGGGCUCAACCCCGGAACUGCCCUUGAUACUGGUAGUAUGGAGUUCUGGAGAGGUGAGUGGAAUUCCGAGUGUAGAGGUGAAAUUCGUAGAUAUUCGGAGGAACACCAGUGGCGAAGGCGGCUCACUGGCCAGAUACUGACGCUGAGGUGCGAAAGUGUGGGGAGCAAACAGG
rnacentral:rRNA from 1 species